GAUGAACGCUAGCGGCAGGCCUAACACAUGCAAGUCGAGGGGUAUAAAAGAGCUUGCUUUUUUAGAGACCGGCAAACGGGUGCGGAACACGUACGCAAUCUGCCCUUAUCACGGGGAUAGCCCCAGAGAAAUUUGGAUUAAUACCCGAUAGUAUUAUAAUAAGGCAUCUUGUUGUAAUUAAAGCUAUGGCGGAUAAGGAUGAGCGUGCGCAAGAUUAGCUAGUUGGUGAGGUAACGGCUCACCAAGGCGACGAUCUUUAGCUGAUGUGAGAGCAUGAUCAGCCACACGGGCACUGAGACACGGGCCCGACUCCUACGGGAGGCAGCAGUGAGGAAUAUUGGUCAAUGGGACGGAAGUCUGAACCAGCCAUGCCGCGUGAAGGAUGAAGGCGUUCUGCGUU
rnacentral:rRNA from 1 species